UGCAGGAUCAGUUGAUGCUUUUGUUCAAAGCCAAUCAGACCGGGGCGCAGGCGGGAAAGGUGCCUUAACAUCCUCAACAUCUGGAGCUGAGGAGGCGGCAGAUGCGGGAGGGGGAGCUCCAGUCAACGGGACUGAGGCAGGAAAUUCACAGGCUUCACAGUCCCGGUAGAGCAGCAGAGACCUCCGCUCUGGAGGAUCCCCAGAAAGCAGCUACACUUACUGCUGAUCGCUGCCCCGAUCUCACUGCACACAGCCUCCAACCUCCCAACCUCAGCAGCUCCUCCUGGUUUAAGAGAGGAAACAGGACACCCCUUAGCACCCUCCCUCUGAAAGCUGUGUGUGUGUGUGUGUGUGUGCCUGUGAGUAUAUAUAUAUAUGUGUGUACUUUCAUUGGUUUUUUUUGCGGCUUGACCUGAUCUCUUCAUGACACCUUUACGAAUGUCUGGCACAGUGCUGCCAUUCAGGCGAACGAGUAAUAGCAGAUAACAGAUUAAUCAGGUUUAAAUAAAUAAAUAAAUCAUAAUUAUUUUGCAAUCACAUCUGUAAUAUUAUUUUAUUAUUUGUAUGAUGAGUCGCAUAAUACAGACUUAAUUUGGCUGACAUUUAUAUAUGACACAUUAUAUACACAUUAUGAUCAGAAAUAGCAUGCUUUAUGUAUACAUUUAUAGAAUGCCUGCAAACAUAUAUGUAAUCAUAUUUAUGGUUGUAUACUCAUUUUUACAGUUUCUCCCCUUUUUUAACACAAAAUUAAAUUGUGUCAAUAUUUCAUGAUGAGUGAACCAAUACAAAUGCUGCAAAAUGACUAGCAAAAUGACUUUUAUUAAAAGUAUUUUUUGUAAUACUGCCAUUUUUAAGACACAAAGCUUUGUUAAUUACAUAAUAUGGUUGUUUUUUUUUUUUUUGGCACCUUAACGAGAAUACGUUCUCUAGUCAGCAUUCUCAAUAGACAGACAUUAAUCAAACAGACUUUUACAGCUAAAAUAUAUUAAAAAUAGCUUUAAUAUCAAGUAUUCAGGAAUGCUUAAACAUGCUUAACUACUGUAAACGCAGGGUUGAGAGCAAGCGGAGGAAAAACGUCUCGUCUGUCAAAUGUAAACGCCUCACAUUCCCGUUUGUAGACUGUCGUCGUCUUCUCGGUCUUCUCGCCCUUCUGUUCUGUUCUUAAUAUAGUCUUUGAACUGACUGAAAUGAAGCACAAUAAAGGCAUACAGACAUAUACAGCUUAUUCCAGCUAGGGUUGCAUAGUAUAUCAUUUUAAUGUUAUUAUCAUUAUCAUCAUCAUCAUUAUUAUAACAAUGUUUGCAUGUGCAGUAUUCACAUUGCAGGACUUGCAUAUGUGCGAAUGUAACGCAAAUUUAAUCAAUCCCAAAACACAAAAAUUUAUAUUGACCUGUUUACCUGGAGCUGAAUAUAUUGGCUCAUUUUUUUUUUCAGUACAUUUUUUCAGUCUUCAGUACGUAUAAGGAAUUAUUAAUAUCACAACCUGCUGAAUCAUUGGUGUAUUUGGUGCAAACUCCUGUAUUUAUUUAGAUAUGAAAUAUAUCACAAUACAUAAUUAAAAACAACAGAUAAUUAUUAUUUUUUUUCAUUAUCAAUAUCAUGUAGCCCUAAAUAUAGCACUGUUAUUACAUUAUUUUGCUAGUUAGUAUUUGUAAAUGUGCCGUGCCUAAGGCAGCACGUCCAAUGAAUAAUCUCUUUAAAAAAAGGCACAGGAGAUAAAUAUCUGAUGUUAUCAGAUCAGGCAUUGGAGAUAAAUCUUUAUUCGUAAAUCUAAAUUUGUUCACGUCGCUCCAACAUAGUUUCACAUUCAUUCAUUAAUUUAUUUAUUCAUUUAUUAAAGAGAAAAGAGACUGAAAACAGCAGUAAGGACAGUAAGUGGAUGUAUGCGUUCAUCCGGAAGUGUGUUUUAUAAGACAUAUAAUAUAUAUAUAUAUAUAUAUAUAUAUAUAUAUAUAUAUAUAUAUAUAUGUCUCUGUGUGUGUGUGCUCUCUCACAGUGCCUGCUCCCUUUGGCUUCUCCCAACCAGUAGAGAAAAGGAAGUCCAUGAGAAAGUCCCAGAAAAUCUCACAUCUGCAGCAGGGAUGGAGCAGAGUACACACAGAGGUCAAGUCCCCGGCGAUGCGAAAGUACCAGAUUGGAAGCCUCAAAACCAGCAGCAUUUUUGACUAUUUUGAUGUUCCAGCUUUGUGAAGCAAAGCCACAAGAGUGGAGGCAGAAAACACACCCAAUUAAUUCUGACAUUGACAGGAUUCCUCUCUCUCUCUCUCUCUCUCUCUGUCUGUAUCUCUCUCUCUCUCGUUGACUCUCUCUCGCUCUCUCUCUCUCUCUCUCUCUCUGCAGCCUCUUCCCGACCUAGAGAAGGUAAGCACAGAAAAAAAGAAAAAAAAAAAAAAAAAAGAACACCGGGGGGGUGGGUGGGCUGAAGGAAAACUUUGACUCAGGGCAGAUGACUUAUCACUCGUUGAAGAAAUUAAUAAUUGACUCGACGUUAAGAUGAAUAAUUAAUCAAGCGCCGGAAUAAUUGUUGUAUCUCUAAUCUCCUCGACACACAUUUGCAUAGGAGCAUAUGAGCCUUUUUUAAAGCACACCAACCACUAUGCAUGUACAUAUAUAUAAAUGGAUACUGUAUAUGCAUAUAAUUAUACUAUAUUUAGUACCAAUAGUCAAACAUUUGGACACGCCUCCUUUUCUUCUCAAUUUAAUGUGUUUUGUUUUUCAUUUUGUGAUUUUAUGAUUUACAUUGUAAAUUUAAUAUUGAAAAAAAAACGAUAUUAUUAAAAAGAGCUAUACAAGAACACGUGUGGAAUUAUUGGUUUAAUGUAAACAAAAUAUUAAAAGUGUAAAACAAACCAGAAUAUGUUUUAUAUUUUAGAUUCUGACUAGCAGACACAUUUUGAUGCUUUGAGGACAAAUUUAAUCUCAGUGUCUUCAUGAGGGAGAAUCAUCCGGAACAGUUUUUUUCAGUGUCUUGAAGGAGUUCCAAGUUCCUGGAGGUGCUGAACAAAAUAGUUGCUGCUUUUCCUUCAAGUUAUGGUCUACAGUUCAUCCUAAAGCAUCACAAAUUAAUCAUAUCAGUUGGGUUUAGGUCAGCGGAUUGUGGAGGAAAAACCCUUUUUUGAUAAUUACAUAAUUCAAUACAUGACUAAUGAAUAAUCAAAAAAUAAAGAAAUAAAGAAAAACAUUGAAUGAGGUGUGUCUAAACAUUUAUCUCAGCAAAGCGAUACAAGUGUUCUGCUAAUACAAAAUUGCAUUAUCACAUUAGAACAGAUGCAGGUAAACAUAAAAACAAUUAAAAAAAAAGGCCAGAUGAUCUCUCAUUUGGAAAAAAGAAGCUGAGAUCUUGUGAGCUCUACUCUGAAGAGUGUUGAAUUCCAUCAGCAGCUCACCUGAUAUACCUACAUUUACCAUAAUUAAACUCUGAUUUAUCAAUCCAGGUGAUGAUUAUACGAUUAUCACUCUACAUAAUACUAGAUUAGACCAUGAGAAGAGCUUUAAAGAUGUUUUAGUGAACACAGUGUAGUAAAAGUUAUUAUAUACUUCAUUAUAGGAAUGCUACUACUGUAUUUGUAUUUAUUUUAAUAUUCUAACAUAGUGUUUUACUGAGCUAAUAAAGUAAAUUUACUGGCUAGAAAGAAACCUUGUCUGUUUUUUGUAUUUUCUGCAGGUGCCUAAGAGUUUUGCUCAGUACCGUGUGUGUGUGUGUGUGUAUAUAUAUAU